UCGAUCCGGCCAGCGAUAACACUUUACUUUAUAUUAUGAAAGACCGAUAAUUGCUUUCCUAGGAAUUGGUUUCCCAGCAAAACAAACAAGGCACUAGCUGCUGCUGAAUUAGGUCUUGGGUUCUAUAACUUCUGUAUCAACUCGGGGACUUUCAGUUGCGAGUUGGGAAAGUUACCCCAACUCAUUCCGACAACUUGAGAGGAAUUAUUAUGGAGGUGGAGUAUCUUCCUUUGUCAUCAAUGGACAAAUCCAGGCAAGUCAUGGAAGAGUUUGUUGAUAUAUGGCAAGAAGCCAUCUCAAAAAGAUCAUUACCAGGCCAUUUCAUGCAUAUGGAACCAAACUUCGUGGGGUACGGUCUCUCAGAUCACUAUGCUACUGUCAUGGCUCAACUAAUUGCGACUCAGUCAGUACAAGCCGCGAGAAACUAGGGAACAUUAAAACAUCACUGCAUCCUUCAUCCAGGUUUCUAUCAGGUGUUGUUAGAUCCUAUUGUCAUGGCUUCUGUUAGUAUUUGUUUUUGUACCAUGGAAGUUUUGGCUCGUUCUGAAAUAAUUAGAUGUUAAGGUUCUAAAAGAAGGAUGCAGCUGAACGCUGUGGUGAAAACAUUGUUUUCUGAAGCACAUAUUCCUUCGGAGUUCUGCAUCUGGAUCUGCAAUUUGCUAAGUUGGUUGUGAUGACAGAUGAGAGGCUUUAACUAGAACAUGGUUUCAUGCAAAGUAAGCCCUUAGAUUGCUGUGCGCUGAAAAUAGGUGGCCCAAAUUGGCACAAAUCCUAUUGUUUCCUUUUAGUUAUUUAUCCAUCAAAUUGCGCUAAUUCAUUUUA